CAUCUAUGACAUAUAUAUUUGAUGGUUAUCAGUUGACAAGCAAUAUGUUUUGUUCGUUGACAAAAGAAAAGAAAAAAAUGGUGCAAGAAUGAGAUAUUUCUUGGCUUGUCCCCAACAACAACAAAGGUAAUGGCACACUCAAGCUACAUUUCAAGUUCAAGAUUUCCAAAUUCUUCAAAUCAUACCAGACUCAAGAUGAAGAAGGUGUUUUGUUGAUGACAAUCUUCCCCGACAAUGGAUCACAAAGUUGAAGUUAUUAUUAAUGUGAUGACACAUUAUAAGUUAAUUGGUGGUCACUCAACUAUUGCAUAAUGGGAUAUUCAAAGUAAAGAUUUAAAGGGGAAUAAAAAUUAUUGCACUACUUAGACAAAUUAUUUUUCUUUUAUUUAACUUUUAGUUAUUUCUUUUUUUAAUUUAGUUAUUUCUUAAUAAGGAGAUUGUUUUUUUAAUCAUUAUGUAGAAUUAUGUUUGUUGUGAAAGUAAAAGUUG